rnacentral:rRNA from 1 species
GAUGAACGCUGGCGGCGUGCCUAAUACAUGCAAGUCGAACGAGGUCUUCGGACCUAGUGGCGAACGGGUGAGUAACACGUUGGUACCUACCCCGAAGUGGGGAAUAACUGCCCGAAAGGGAGGCUAAUACCGCAUAAUACCGCAAGGUUAAAGCAGUAAUGCGCUUCGGGGGGGGCCAGCGUCCCAUUAGCUAGUUGGUAGGGUAAUGGCCUACCAAGGCGACGAUGGGUAGCUGGAUCGAGAGGUUGACCAGCCACACUGGGACUGAGAUACGGCCCAGACUCCUACGGGAGGCAGCAGUAAGGAAUCUUCCACAAUGGACGAAAGUCUGAUGGAGCAACGCCGCGUGCAGGAUGACGGCCUUCGGGUUGUAAACUGCUUUUAUACGGGAAGAUUAUGACGGUACCGUAUGAAUAAGGACCGGCUAACUACGUGCCAGCCGCCGCGGUAA